rnacentral:lncRNA from 1 species
GAGACAAUUCCAGUUGCCAGACUUGUCAGGUACAGACAUAAACAACAGAGAUUAACAUCCAAUACAAUAAAGGAACAAAUACAGAAUUUUAUAGGAGAAUUGGAAUUGUUAAGAAAUGAAAUGGAAACUUUAGGUAAGAGAUUGUUAUAACACAAAUACAAGAAUUAAGUAGAUGGCCAGGGAUUUAGCUCAGUGGUUUCACUGCCUACUGCGCAAGUGCAAGGACCCAAGUUCGAUCCCUGGUACCAAAAGAAAGAAAGAAAGAAAGAAAGAAAGAAAGAAAGAAUUAAGUAGAUGGGCAUGAGAGGAGAUUGGAUCUUGCAGAAGAGAGGAUCUAUAAACUGGCAGAUGAUCAGUGGGAAAUAUCUAACUUCAAAGGUUAAAAGUCAAAAUGGUGAAAAGUAUAGAAAAGUGGGUAAGAGAUUUAUAGGGCAUGGCCUUAACAUAUGUGUAAUUGGAGUCCUAGAAAAGAGGAGAGACUGAAGUAGAAGCAGUGGAAGAAAUGCUAAUGGCUGAGAAUGUUCAGAAACCAAUAAACAACAUCAAGUCACACAAUCAAAAAGCACUCUCAAUCCGAAGAAGAAUAAGCACAGUGAAACCACAGACACAUGGUAGGAGAGGUAUGGAAAACCAGAGAGAGAGAGAAUAUUAACAUCCUGUGGAAAAUAAGGACCUUGACUUCAGAAGAGAAGGACAUGACCGACAGCUGGCACCCUAAUGGAAAAAUCAGAAUCUGGAAGACUAUACCUGCCAACUAAGAAUUCUGUACCCAGAACACAUAUCCUUUAAAGGAACUUGUAGCACUCCUUGCUGGUGUACACGGACCACUGCUCUCCACCCGACGGCAGCACCAGGCACAAAUGCACGUGAAACUCCUGCAAGUCAUAAUCUAAGUCUCAACACAUGUUGAAGGACUGGAAUCCUUGAUAAGAAAUAAGAAGGCUUUUCUUUGGUAUCGGGAAUCGAACUCAAGACCUUGCACCUUCAAGGCUACAGUGAUUUGGACAGUGCUGUGCCAUCUGGACUUAAACACAUGGGUCGGAGCGGCAUAGCUGCCGGCCCAGAGAGCGAGCUGCCAACCACCCUGGUCCCCGUGCAGGACAGCCAGGAAGUAGAGAGCGGUCAUGUCAAUAAGGGAAGUGUUUCAACUGGUUGUUUGUGUACAAAAAGGUGAACCUGAGCCUUAGUUACAUCACAAGCAAGUGUCAAGUGUGGAUAGGUUACAUGUCUGAAUGUAAAAGGUAAAACAAUAGAGCUCACUGACAGCAGCGCAGGAGAGGGUAUUCAUGACUUCGAAGUAG